UACGGAGGGUGCAAGCGUUAUCCGGAUUCACUGGGUUUUAAAAGGGUGCGUAGGCGGGCAGGUAAGUCAGUGGUGAAAUCCCCCGAGCUCAACUUGGGAACUGCCGUUGAUACUAUCUGUCUUGAAUACUUUGGAGGUAAGCGGAAUAUGUCAUGUAGCGGUGAAAUGCUUAGAUAUGACAUAGAACACCAAUUGCGAAGGCAGCUUGCUACACAGUUAUUGACGCUGAGGCACAAAGCGUGGGGAUCAAACG
rnacentral:rRNA from 1 species